AUUGAACGCUGGCGGAAUGCUUUACACAUGCAAGUCGAACGGCAGCACGGGGGCAGCCCUGGUGGCGAGUGGCGAACGGGUGAGUAAUACAUCGGAACGUGCCCGGUCGUGGGGGAUAACGUAGCGAAAGUUACGCUAAUACCGCAUACGAUCUGAGGAUGAAAGCGGGGGACCUUCGGGCCUCGCGCGAUCGGAGCGGCCGAUGUCAGGUUAGGUAGUUGGUGGGGUAAAGGCCUACCAAGCCGACGAUCUGUAGCUGGUCUGAGAGGACGACCAGCCACACUGUGACUGAGACACGGCCCAGACUCCUACGGGAGGCAGCAGUGGGGAAUUUUGGACAAUGGGCGCAAGCCUGAUCCAGCCAUUCCGCGUGCAGGACGAAGGCCUUCGGGUUGUAAACUGCUUUUGUACGGAACGAAAAGGCUCUGGCUAAUACCUGGGGCUCAUGACGGUACCGUAAGAAUAAGCACCGGCUAACUACGUG
rnacentral:rRNA from 1 species